rnacentral:rRNA from 1 species
ACGCAGCCCGGUGUGUCUUUACACAUGCAAGUCGAACGGUGAAUCAGAGCUUUGCUCUGUGGAUCAGUGGCGAACGGGUGAGUAUUCACGUGAGCAAUCUGCGACCUGACUAUGUGGAUAAGCGCUGGAAACGGCGUCUAAUACCGGAUACGAGCUGCGGCCGCAUGGUCAGUAGUUGGAAAGAAUUUCGGUCAGGGAUGAGCUAGCGGCCUAUCAGCUUGUUGGUGAGGUAAUGGCUCACCAAGGCGUAGACGGGUAGCCGGCGUGAGAGGGUGACCGGCCACACUGUGACUGAGACACGGCCCAGACUCUUACGGGAGGCAACAGUGGGGAAUAUUGCACAAUGGGCGAAAGCCUGAUGCAGCAACACCGCGUGAGGGAUGACGGCCUUCGGGUUGUAAACCUCUUUUAGCAGGGAAGAAGCGAAAGUGACGGUGCCUGCAGAAAAAGCGCCGGCUAACUACGUGACAACAGCCGCGGUAAUCCGUAGGGCGCAAGCGUUAUCCGGAAUUAUUGGGCGUAAAGAGCUCGUAGGCGGUCUGUCGCGUCUGCUGUGAAAACCCGAGGCUCAACCUCGGGCCUGCAGUGGGUACGGGCAGACUAGAGUGCGGUAGGGGAGAUUGGAAUUCCUGGUGUAGCGGUGGAAUGCGCAGAUAUCAGGAGGAACACCGAUGGCGAAGGCAGAUCUCUGGGCCGUAACUGACGCUGAGGAGCGAAAGGGUGGGGAGCAAACAGGCUUAGAUACCCUGGUAGUCCACCCCGUAAACGUUGGGAACUAGUUGUGGGGUCCAUUCCACGGAUUCCGUGACGCAGCUAACGCAUUAAGUUCCCCGCCUGGGGAGUACGGCCGCAAGGCUAAAACUCAAAGGAAUUGACGGGGACCCGCACAAGCGGCGGAGCAUGCGGAUUAAUUCGAUGCAACGCGAAGAACCUUACCAAGGCUUGACAUAUAGAGGAAACGUCUGGAAACAGUCGCCCCGCAAGGUCUCUAUACAGGUGGUGCAUGGUUGUCGUCAGCUCGUGUCGUGAGAUGUUGGGUUAAGUCCCGCAACGAGCGCAACCCUCGUUCUAUGUUGCCAGCACGUAAUGGUGGGAACUCAUGGGAUACUGCCGGGGUCAACUCGGAGGAAGGUGGGGAUGACGUCAAAUCAUCAUGCCCCUUAUGUCUUGGGCUUCACGCAUGCUACAAUGGCCGGUACAAAGGGCUGCAAUACCGUGAGGUGGAGCGAAUCCCAAAAAGCCGGUCCCAGUUCGGAUUGAGGUCUGCAACUCGACCUCAUGAAGUCGGAGUCGCUAGUAAUCGCAGAUCAGCAACGCUGCGGUGAAUACGUUCCCGGGUCUUGUACACACCGCCCGUCAAGUCAUGAAAGUCGGUAACACCUGAAGCCGGUGGCCCAACCCUUGUGGAGGGAGCCGUCGAAGGUGGGAUCGGUAAUUAGGACUAAGUCGUAACAAGGUAGCCGUACCG